rnacentral:lncRNA from 1 species
AGUAUCUCCUGAGGUAAGAUUUGAGUGAACCUCACAUUCGGGCCACCACGUGAGAGUGAGACUCAGCCAACGCCAAGGAACGGCUGUGUGUCAGAUGCGAAAUCAUGUUUAUGGGUAUGGGACAUUUAACAGCCUUGGCGGUCUCAGUGGGAUACCUUGACGAAGGUACCCACGAGAAUGAUUCUGGCAGGGGUCAAGUUUAAGAAACUCAUAAGUCAGGGAAAUUUUGAUGAAAAGAAAUUGUUUGGUAUAGAUUGAAACGAAUUUUGCGUUAUGAACAUUAUUGAGAUAUAACGUUUUUAUAUUGUCUCCAUCUACUCAACUUUAGAUGCUUUUGAUGGUAAUUAUUUACUCACUAGGAUUAUGUAAUCUCAUCUCUCUUCCUAUCCAUUUUUCAAGCUCAGGACAGUUUGUUGAUAGUUGAUUAAGACGAGAAUUAAUCUUGGAGUUGCAUCCUAGAAAGUAAGGGUUCGUAGCCCUACACCUUCUUGGACAGUUGGGGGCCCAUGUAUCACUAUAAAAGUAAUUUUAUGCUUCAGUUAUCUAAUUUAAAGUAUGUAUGAACAUAUUUAGCUUUUACACCAUGUUUUUGACGGGUUUCAAUAUUUUUGAAAAAAAAAUAUGACUAAAAUAGCCCUGUCAGAUAGAAAUAAAUUUUCAUUGUUUUUUGAUGGGAAAAUCGUCCAUAUCGUUUCAAAACACGAUUUUAGUUACUGUCGAUCACAAGGGAGGUAAGAAAACUGAUACGAAAGGCUAGCGAGGUUUCGGUCAGCAUUUAGGGUAAAGAAUGUCUGAUGAGACUUCGCGACAGUUGUCACAGGCUUGAUGGGAGUUUCGGGUCGUGACAACCUGCUACUGCAGAUUCCUCUGAAACACCAAGGGCUUCACUAGCACAGCAAGGUGUUGGAAGUUCAGGCUUGCAAGCAAAAGGGUCUGAUCCUCAUGGUGUAAGUUAUGGUGUUCCAGUUGAAGGUCAUGAGCCAAAAGAGGAACAGCCAAGAAAAUCACGUUUGAAGGGUAAAGAAAUUUUGAUGAAAAGAAAUUGUUUGGUAUAGAUUGAAACGAAUUUUGCGUUAUGAACAUUAUUGAGAUAUAACAUUUUUAUAUUGUCUCCAUCUACUCAGCUUUAGAUGCUUUUGAUGGUAAUUAUUUACUCACUAGGAUUAUGUAAUCUCAUCCCUCUUCCUAUCCAUUUUUCAAGCUCAGGACAGUUUGUUGAUAGUUGAUUAAGACGAGAAUUAAUCUUGGAGUUGCAUCCUAAAAAGUAAGGGUUCAUAGCCCUACACCUUCUUGGACAGUUAGGGGCCCACGUAUCACUAUGAAAGUAAUUUUAUACUUCAGUUAUCUAAUUUAAAGUAUGUAUGAACAUAUUUAGCUUUUACACCAUGUUUUUGACUGGUUUCAAUAUUUUCGAAAAAAAAAUAUGACUAAAAUAGCCCUGUCAGAUAGAAAUAAAUUUUCAUUGUUUUUGGAUGGGAAAAUCGUCCAUAUCGUUUCAAAACACGAUUUUAGUUACUGUCGAUCACAAGGGAGGUAAGAAAACUGAUACGAAAGGCUAGCGAGGUUUCGGUCAGCAUUUAGGGUAAAGAAUGUCUGAUGAGACUUCGCGACAGUUGUCACAGGCUCGAUGGGAGUUUCGGGUCAUGACAACCUGCUACUGCAGAUUCCUCUGAAACACCAAGUGCUUCACUAGCACAGCAAGGUGCUGGAAGUUCAGGCUUGCAAGCAAAAGGGUCUGAUCCUCAUGGUGUAAGUUAUGGUGUUCCAGUUGAAGGUCAUGAGCCAAAAGAGGAACAGCCAAGAAAUUCACCUUCACCUGAGUUACAAGAUAAGGAUGAAUCUGAUCAAGGUAUCGAAGUGAUUACAUCUAAGCAAGAAAAUACCCCCACUAAACGUAAGCCUCAACCAGAACCUCAACCAUCUCCUCCACACAUUGAAAAGGUUUCACUCAUGAGUUUGUUCCAACAAAUGGUUCAAGAGGAACAAGCUGAAAUACCCCAUACUUUGAUAUGGUGAUUAAUAAAGUUGAUCGAAUGCAAAUUGAGGUCAAUUAAAAUGUUUAAAAGUGAUAAAAGGCGAAAGGAGUAAUUUAGGAUAAAAUAUUCCGAAAGUGAGAAAAUGACAAUAAAAUAAUAGUAAGUUUAUCGGAGGAGAAUUUGCGAGAUAAAAGGCGAUUCGGAAGUCAAGUGAGGCAUAACAAGGUAUUUUGGGUAUCAAGGAGACAAGAUAAAAUUUUUAGAAUAAAAUAAUAUUUUAUUAAUAAAAUAAUAUUAAAAUAUUAAUAUUUAGUCAGAUGUCGAAAUCAGUCAUCAAGAAGGAUCAUAUGGUUGAUCCAAGUGGGGGAGAAGAUGACAAGCCCGACUAUAAAAAUAUUUGUGAUGACAUACAUGUGAUGGAUAGCAUGUUUGCAUGCUAGGAGAGUCUCAAAGAAUUUACAAAAGUCGGUAUUGUACUUAGAGGUACAACAAAGUUGAUUUAAGCCUCGAACUAGAUCAAAUAGAGAAUUUACGAUGAAAUUAAGAAUUUUAAAGUCCCAAAAUGGUUUAAUAUGGUAAUUCGGAGUUUGAAGAUCAAUUUGGAGACAAACCAAAAUUUUCGCUAUUUAGGGGCAAAAUGGUCAUUUGCCACUUGGGACAAAAUGGGAAUUUUAGAAAAGAUUCUUUUGGCCCCAUUUGACUUAUUGGAGUAUAAUUUGACUUAUUGGAGUAAGAUUUGAGGUUUAGAAGUGAAAAAAUAUAAUUUCGGUAUAAUUUAGAGCAUAGGGGUAAAAUGAUAAUUUUACCACCCUAGGGGCAAAAUAGUAAUUUUCCACCACCAGGACAUUUUUUCAGCACAUGGUCAUCUCUUAUCCUCAUUUUGACCAUUGACUAAUUGUGUGGUAGAGAUAAAAAGGAUUAAAAUUUUAAAGUUUUAAAAACGGGCCAAUGACAUGAUGCCACGUGUCAUGUCUUUAUUAAUUUAUUAAUUUCCUUUUUAAAAGGCACAAAAAUCAGCUCAUCUUCCACCCCAUGGCCGACCAAACAAGCAAGAAGAGAGAGAAAACAAAAACAAAACCCUAGAGAGAGAAAAUCAAAGAAAAAGUGUGAAUUUUCAAGGAAAUUAAGUGAAAAAGGUAUGAUUUUUCAAGCUUAGCUUAAGAUUUAUCAUUUCCAUGCAUUUUCUAUCAUUUUCCAUAGUUGAAUCAUGUGAUUUGAGGAUGAAUUCAAUUCUGAAAAAAUGGGUUAGGAGAGAGAAACUUGUUAGAUUAAUUUGAUUUUAAGUUAUGUUAGUGUUUUAAGUUAGUUUAGCAUAUUUAGGAACAAAACAACAAGAAAAGAAUUUAUUUUCCUCUAUUACCAUUAUUGGCCGAAUUUUCUAGGGGAAUAUUGGUUGAUGAUCUUGAUGUUUAUUUGAGGAAUUAUGAUGUAUAAUGAUGAAUUAUGAGUCUAGAAAAAUAAUGGGAAUUUUCGGAGCAAAAAUAAGAAUUUUUACCCAUUAGAGGUAUUUUCGUAAUUUGUUAUCGAGACUGAUAAUUUGCACCACACUGAGGAACAUUAAGUCAAUUUGGGUGCAAUUGAGGUAUAGAAAUUGAAAAAAAUUAAUUUGAGAUUAAAUUGGACGCGUUAGUAAUUUAAUUGGGUAAUAAGCCGAAUUAGGUCAGCACCGCAUUUAAGCGGUAGUCGGAUAAGUUGAAUGUCAUAUCAUGCAUAUAUACCGAGCCUGAAUUGAUUUUAUAAUGGUUAAGUAUUGAUGUGGUGAAUUAUGUAUUGUACAUUGUGGAUAGGUAGUGAGCAAAUUACACUGGUAAAAGUACAGAAAUUGUGCUUGAAGACUGGGAUUAAGAGUACAUCGACUCCUAGAACUGUGAGUGGACAAUUUAUCGUCUUAAAUAUCUAGAGUAAUUAUACUUAUUUGAUGUUUUUAUUGAAUGGUGAGCUUAAAUUAUAAAAUAUUAUGUUUUUUAAUUAAAAUAUUUUUUAAUAAAAAUGAGAUUUAUACUGGUUUUGAAAUCAAAUAUUAUUUUGAGAAAAUUGAGUAUAUGGAGACUGUGUUGAAAUUUAUGAUUUUAUAUGUUAUUGAAAUUGUGGCUUAUGACACUAUAGUAGCAUGAUGGCUAAAUUUUUGGGGUUGGCAUGAAAUAUAUGAAUAGAUUUGGAUUGGUCUCGGUAGACUGGAUUAAAUUUUAUUCACCAUAUUAAGCUACUGGAAAUUUUAUGGGUUUGGUGGUAUAUUAAACGGUCACUGCAGUGGUGGGGGUUUCCGUGGACUACCUAUGAGAGGGGCACGGUAACUCAAUUAUAUAUUUACCUCCAGGGGAGAUGUUGGGUGAAGUAUCUCUUGAGGUAUGAUUUGAGUGCACCUCACGUUCGGGACACCAUGUGAGAGUGAGACUCAGCCAACACCAAGGAAUGGCUAUGUGUUAGAUGUGAAAACAUGUUUAUGGGUAUGGGUCAUUGAACAGCCUUGGCGGUCUCAGUGGGAUACCUUGACGAAGGUACCCGCGAGAAUGAUUCUGGCAAGGGCCAAGUUUAAGAAAUUCAUAAGCCGAGAAAUUUUGAUAAAAAGAAAUUGUUUGGUAUAGAUUGAAACGAAUUUUGUGUUAUGAACAUUAUUGAGAUAUAACGUUUUUAUAUUGUCUCCAUCUACUCGACUUUAGAUGUUUUUGAUGGU